rnacentral:rRNA from 1 species
AUUGAACGCUGGCGGCAUGCUUAAAACAUGCAAUUCAACCGCAGCGCCGGGGUUCGUCCUGCGGUGAGGUUCGCACCGGUGGGGUAAGUAACGGAAGGGUCCCCGUUGUGUGGGACUGGCCUGGCAAAGGCGGAAUGAAGCCCCAAACGGACCUAAGGUUAAAACGGGGGGACCAAAAGUCCUCGCCGUUUUGGCUGUCCCUUUGUCGUAUUAGCUAGUUGGUGGGGUAAAGGCUUACCAAGGCGACGAUCCGUAGCUGGUCUGAGAGGCCGACCUGCCACACUGGGACUGAGACACGGCCCAGACUCCUACGGGAGGCAGCAGUGGGGAAUUUUGGACAAUGGGGGCAACCCUGAUGCAGCCAUGCCGCGUGCGGGAAGAAGGCCUUCGGGUUGUAAACCGCUUUUGUUCGGGAAGAAAUACUCUGGGCUAAUACCCCGGGGGGAUGACGGUACCGGAAGAAUAAGCACCGGCUAACUACGUG